GUAAACGUGAUGAACAAGAAUAGUAAGGUGAUCCGGACGAUACAGAGAGCUGCGGGUUGGUGCAACGCAGUCGAUGGGACCUGAACUCGCUUGGGAGCGGAGCGGUGGAACACUGUGAGUGAUGAUUCUCUCAGGUCCGGUAGUGCACGCCGGGUAAGUAUACCGUUACGAAGGCCUCCGUAAGAGGGCAAGCCUAAUAGUCCAUUUUAUCUAUAUGUAAUUAUGGCUGUAAGGUGUUUGAGUGGUUCUUCCGCCGAUCCUAUUAUAUGGGGAGGAAGGACAACAAGAGUGGUACCGCGAAGGGUGAACAGCCUGUCGUCUCUUGA
rnacentral:ncRNA from 1 species